rnacentral:rRNA from 1 species
GUGUCAGCCGCCGCGGUAAUACGAAGGGGGCUAGCGUUGUUCGGAAUUACUGGGCGUAAAGCGCACGUAGGCGGAUUGUUAAGUCAGAGGUGAAAUCCCGGAGCUCAACUUCGGAACUGCCUUUGAUACUGGCAAUCUAGAGUCCGGAAGAGGUUAGUGGAAUUCCCAGUGUAGAGGUGAAAUUCGUAGAUAUUGGGAAGAACACCAGUGGCGAAGGCGGCUAACUGGUCCGGUACUGACGCUGAGGUGCGAAAGCGUGGGGAGCAAACAGGAUUAGAAACCCCCGUAGUCC